CCCUACUGGGUGCUUUAGAUUCGCCACUUUGGCAAGCCAUUACAUGCCUUAACUAAUACAAGCUUCAAAAGCCUUGGAAGGUGAUACUGUUACCAUCUAAAUCCCCAUAAAGUAGGCAGAGAAGCCAGAAUCAAUAAGGCUGACGCUGGUCCAGAACUUUGAGCAGGUACACAGAGAUUUGGGCGUCGCUCUCCAUUACGGCAAACUCUGUUCUGAUUGGCUGAUGCCUGUCCUACUGGUUAGUCAAUGUUUUGAACGCUGCCUUGGUUACACAGCUGGAUGGAGGCGGUAGAAUCCAAACCACCCCUGAGCAAGGCAAAUUGAUCCCUUCUUAAUGACGUCCCGCCCAGAAGCAACAACCUUGUAAACUGUAAAGUCCUUUAUAAAUAGCAAGUUAGCUCAUUCCUCCACGGCAAAAGAGGCCUGUUGGAGUUGGAACAGGCUGAGGAGUUGGAUGGCUGAGUAGAUUCUGCUGUGGGGAGCCAGCAUUCUUCUGAUCCGCUUGAAAGGAAACCAAGACACUAAGGACAAGGCCAGUGGAGCCCUGCGGUGCCUGGCGCAUGAGGUCCUCGGCGCUCAUCAGAUUAGCCUGGGCCUGUCUUCAGGGACUGAGAAAUCAGAAUUUAAGAGAGGCCCCUGGGAUUUCGAGAAGUGACCGAGGAGCAGCUAUGGAAGUAAGAAGUGGUCCCUACCCCACUGAGAAGUGAAGGGAGAUUGGCAACUACUUUCAGUACCAUAAACCUUGGACCCAUUUUACUGAUGAGUAAUUUGAGACUCCACAAUAUUAGGUGACACCAAGAGGCUUAAGAGAGGCAACGUUAAAGCCAUCGAUUCCAAGGUCAGUUUCAAAGAUCACAAACAAAUACAAAUUCGCUGGAUCCGGAGGGAUCGGGUAGGCACCUGCCUACUUAUGUAGUAUUGAACCACGACAAUCUUGCAGGCUGUGCUCGCCCAGCCUGUCCUCAGGACAACUACCUCUUCUUUGUUAUUCGAUUCGUCUGAAGGGGGUUGGGCAUGUGAGUUCUUUUGAGAAGGGUCUCCUGCCGCCUUAAGCUGGGCUCCCACUGGCUGGCUUCGAAUCCCUUGAUCUCCUGGCAUCCCAAGGUCUGGGAUAACAGACUUCUGACCCUACCUCAGUUUUUGCUUUGUUUGGUUUUCUGGUUUGAGACAAGAGUUUCUCUUUGUAACCGCCCUGGCUGUCCUGAAACUCACUCGGCAGAGCAUGCUGGCCUCGAUCUCAGAGAUCCGCCUGCCUCUGACACCCCAAGUUAUUUUUUAAUUAAAUGCUUUGAAGCCC